UAAUUUAAUGGCCGCGGUAUUUUGACCGUGCAAAGGUAGCAUAAUCAUUAGUUUAUUAAUUGUAAGCUUGUAUGAAUGGUUUUACGAAAUAUUAACUGUCUCUUAUUUAAUUUUAGAAUUUAAAUUUUAAGUUAAAAUGCUUAAAUUUUUUUAUAGGACGAGAAGACCCUAUAGAUCUUUAUUAUUUAAUUUGUUAUCUUUUUUUGUUUAUUUUUUGUUAAUUUUUUAUGUUAUUUUGUUGGGGCGAUUUAGGGAAAUGUAUAACUCCUUAUAUUAAUUUACAAUAUUAUUUGUAUUUAUGACCUUUUAUUAAUGUUAUAAGAUUUAGAUACCUUAGGGAUAACAGCGUAAUUUUAACUGAGAGUUCAUAUUGACGUUAUAGAUUGCGACCUCGAUGUUGGAUUAAGAAUAUAUUUAGGUGUAGGUGCUUAAACAUUAAGUCUGUUCGACUUUUAAAUUCUUACAUGAUCUGAGUCA
rnacentral:rRNA from 1 species